AUUGAACGCUGGCGGCAGGCUUAACACAUGCAAGUCGAGCGAGUGGCGGACGGGUGAGUAAUGUCUGGGAAACUGCCUGAUGGAGGGGGAUAACUACUGGAAACGGUAGCUAAUACCGCAUACCAUCAGAUGUGCCCAGAUGGGAUUAGCUGGUUGGUGGGGUAAUGGCUCACCUAGGCGACGAUCCCUAGCUGGUCUGAGAGGAUGACCGGCCACACUGGAACGGAGACACGGGCCAGACUCCUACGGGAGGCAGCAGUGGGGAAUAUGGCACAAUGGGCGCAAGCCUGAUGCAGCCAUGCCGCGUGUGUGAAGAAGGCCUGCGGGUUGUAAAGCACUUUCAGCGGGGAGGCGUUACUCGCAGAAGAAGCACCGGCUAACUCCGUGCCAGCAGCCGCGGUAAUUC
rnacentral:rRNA from 1 species